rnacentral:rRNA from 1 species
UUAAACGGCCGCGGUAUCCUAACCGUGCAAAGGUAGCAUAAUCACUUGUCCCCUAAAUAGGGACUAGAAUGAACGGUUAAAUGAGGGCUUCACUGUCUCUUACAUUCGACCAAUAAACCUGAUCUUUCAGUCCAAAAGCUGAAAUAAACCCAUAAGACGAGAAGACCCUGUGGAGCUUCCAAACCAAGCCCACCACCCUAUGUCCCCUUGGUUUUUAGUUGGGGCGACUUUGGAGCACAAACAACCCUCCAACUACGGACCUUCCCCUCUAGAUGUACAUAUCAACAAAAAUUUUCCCCGACCCAGUAGCUAAAUUGUCUAUCUGACCAAUGGACCAAGUUACCCCAGGGAUAACAGCGCCAUCCUCUUCUAGAGUCCCUAUCGACAAGAGGGUUUACGACCUCGAUGUUGGAUCAGGACACCCCUAUAGUGCAGCCGCUAUAAAAGGUUCGUUUGUUCAACGAUUAAAGUCCUACGUGAUCU